GAUGAACGCUGACAGAAUGCUUAACACAUGCAAGUCAACUUGAAUUUGGGUUUUUAACUUAGGUUUGGGUGGCGGACGGGUGAGUAACGCGUAAAGAACUUGCCUCACAGCUAGGGACAACAUUUGGAAACGAAUGCUAAUACCUAAUAUUAUGAUAAUAGGGCAUCCUAUAAUUAUGAAAGCUAUAAGCGCUGUGAGAGAGCUUUGCGUCCCAUUAGCUAGUUGGAGAGGUAACGGCUCACCAAGGCGAUGAUGGGUAGCCGGCCUGAGAGGGUGAUCGGCCACAAGGGGACUGAGACACGGCCCUUACUCCUACGGGAGGCAGCAGUGGGGAAUAUUGGACAAUGGACCAAGAGUCUGAUCCAGCAAUUCUGUGUGCACGAUGAAGUUUUUCGGAAUGUAAAGUGCUUUCAGUUGGGAAGAAAGAAAUGACGGUACCAACAGAAGAAGUGACGGCUAAAUACGUGCCAGCAGCCGCGGUAAUACGUAUGUCACGAGCGUUAUCCGGAUUUAUUGGGCGUAAAGCGCGUCUAGGUGGUUAUGUAAGUCUGAUGUGAAAAUGCAGGGCUCAACUCUGUAUUGCGUUGGAAACUGUAUAACUAGAGUACUGGAGAGGUAAGCGGAACUACAAGUGUAGAGGUGAAAUUCGUAGAUAUUUGUAGGAAUGCCGAUGGGGAAGCCAGCUUACUGGACAGAUACUGACGCUGAAGUGCGAAAGCGUGGGUAGCAAACAGG
rnacentral:rRNA from 1 species